CCCAAACCCUAUUCAUUGCUCCUCUUCCACUCUCUAUAUAUACCACCUUCAACCCUCCCUUCAAUAUCCAUCAAUGGUCUUCAAAGUUCCAUUCUUUUCCCUCUAUUUUAGCUUUGGGUUUUUGUUCUUAUCAAACUUUGCUUCAUGUUCUUUCACUUCCUUUUGAACUUCUUUCUAUUUGAUGCAAUGGGGUUCAGGCUUCUCUUUAUUCUUCUUCUGCAUGGGAUGAUAUGAUGAUGAUGAUGAUGGUGAUGGUGGUGGUGAUGCUGAUGUUGAUAAUGGUACAACAGCCAUUGUUUUCUGUUGGAGCAUCAUCAAGAUUCACAAAAAGCAUUUUAAGGUUUUUUUUGAAUUGAAUUGAUCAAUCAGCGCUUUAUGAAUAUGUUUUUGAGAAUCUUGAUGAUGCUGCAGUGGCAAUAAAUGGCUAAGUUCUCUAUUUCAUAGCAAGCAAGAGCUAACAAGAAAAGAAGCUUUAAAAAUGCAGGUGAAUUUGUUCUACUUCUUGUUUCUAGUUUAUUUUAUCUUUUAAUGUCAACAAACUGAGGAAAAAAUGUUUAAUAUUUGAUAAUGUUAUUAGGGUUUUUGUUAUAAUCCAAUAUCUAAUAUACUGUAAUGAUCAUAUCUGUGAAGUUUUUUUCUUUUACAGAUGGUGCAGUACAGGGGAUAUAUAGCAAAUCUCUUUUAUGUUCAUUUUUGUUGAUUAUUUGUUAAUAUGAUGUAAUUCUUUAGUUAAUUUUUUAUUAAAUAUUGUAUUUUUUUCAUUAUUCUUUAUAGAGAUUUACAUGUUUUUUUUAAUGUUAUCAUUUCUCC
rnacentral:lncRNA from 1 species